GAUCGCGUAUGUGGAGAGUCUAUCCCGCCUCCUAUGUAUGGUGAUUCCAAUGUUACGAUUAUUUAUUUUGAAUCUGAUGGAAAUGUAAGAAGGGAUGGGUUUUCUUUAACGUUCACAAGUCAAGUUUACGCGGACAAUUUAACCAUACCAGACAAUAAUUUAACCAUACCCGACACCACAACGCCAGCUGACUGUAAUGUAGAUAUUGAAGCUGAAAGUGGGCUUAUAGCAUCUCCUAACUACCCAAACCACUACCCAAAUGAAGCAUCAUGCACGUAUACAAUAACAGCCCCAC